UAUGGGUGCUGGUAUUAAAUGUACAGCUCUGACCUUAAAUCAGUCUUGGAAAGUCUCAUCUAACGUCUCUCUCCCCAGUUCCUCCUGGAUGUUUUGAUAUCGCAAAGCAGCUGAUUCCAAAGCUUCCUUGAUGUCAGAGUUGCAGCGGGCUGUCCAUCAGAGCGCUGACAGGUUGCUGCGGCUGCUGCAGCCGCCGCCGCUGUCUGCAGGCACCAGUGAGCCCGUGAAGGAUGGAGACAUCUGGAUGUCUGAGCUCUUCUCUCCUGGAACGUGCUGCUCAGCCUGCAUGACAGGACAUGAGGAGUUGGGACCGGAUCCAGCAGCCAUGUCACCUGAGCGACACCCACUGCAUACUAAUGAGGAGCCGGAGGAAGGAGGGAGGGGGGGAAGCAGAAUCUGACGC